GUUUCAUUACAUAUGGACAAUUAUAGUGGACAAAAUUAUAAGAAAAGUGUUGUAAUAAGCUAUGGAAUGUGGCUUGUUAUGAUUGGUCUACAUGAUGACUUGGAGUACAGCCUGAUGGAGGCCCGGCAUACAGAAUUCAGUCCUGAACAUGUUUAGAAUGUCUUCUGCAUGACCUGGUAUAGAUAGUAUUCUUGAAGGAUUAUAACUUCAACACAG
rnacentral:lncRNA from 1 species